UGAAAAUGUCCAGUUCAGGGAAUUCAGC
rnacentral:sRNA from 1 species